rnacentral:rRNA from 1 species
GAUGAACGCUAGCGGCAGGCUUAACACAUGCAAGUCGAGGGGCAGCACGGGUAGCAAUACCUGGUGGCGACCGGCGGAAGGGUGCGUAACGCGUGAGCAACAUACCCUAUACAGGGGAAUAAGCCAGGGAAACUUGGUCUAAUGCCCCAUAGCAAUAGAAUAAGGCAUCUUAUUUUAUUUAAAGCUUCGGUGGUAUAGGAUUGGCUCGCGUGACAUUAGCUGGAUGGUGAGGUAACGGCUCACCAUGGCGAUGAUGUCUAGGGGUUCUGAGAGGAAGGCCCCCCACACUGGGACUGAGACACGGCCCAGACUCCUACGGGAGGCAGCAGUGAGGAAUAUUGGACAAUGGAUGGAAAUCUGAUCCAGCCAUGCCGCGUGCAGGAAGACGGCCCUAUGGGUUGUAAACUGCUUUUCUACGUGAGCAAUAAGGUCUACGAGUAGACUGAUGAGAGUAGCGUAGGAAUAAGCAUCGGCUAACUCCGUGCCAGCAGCCGCGGUAAUACGGAGGAUGCGAGCGUUAUCCGGAUUUAUUGGGUUUAAAGGGUGCGUAGGCGGCUUUUUAAGUCAGCGGUGAAAUUUUGCAGCUUAACUGUAACAGUGCCGUUGAUACUGAGGAGCUAGGAUUUGGUUGCUGUGGGUGGAAUGUGUGGUGUAGCGGUGAAAUGCUUAGAGAUCACACAGAAUAUCGAUUGCGAAGGCA